AGUGAACGCUGGCGGUAGGCCUAACACAUGCAAGUCGAACGGCAGCACAGUAAGAGCUUGCUCUUACGGGUGGCGAGUGGCGGACGGGUGAGGAAUACAUCGGAAUCUACUUUUUCGUGGGGGAUAACGUAGGGAAACUUACGCUAAUACCGCAUACGACCUACGGGUGAAAGCAGGGGACCUUCGGACCUUGCGCGAUUGAAUGAGCCGAUGUCGGAUUAGCUAGUUGGCGGGGUAAGGGCCCACCAAGGCGACGAUCCGUAGCUGGUCUGAGAGGAUGAUCAGCCACACUGGAACUGAGACACGGUCCAGACUCCUACGGGAGGCAGCAGUGGGGAAUAUUGGACAAUGGGCGCAAGCCUGAUCCAGCCAUACCGCGUGGGUGAAGAAGGCCUUCGGGUUGUAAAGCCCUUUUGUUGGGAAAGAAAAGCAGCAGGUUAAUACCCCGCUGUUCUGACGGUACCCAAAGAAUAAGCACCGGCUAACUUCGUG
rnacentral:rRNA from 1 species